CAAAACUAGCCGCAACAAAAACCUAAGUUGUGGUUUAGAAAAAUGAACAGUGUCGUACACAAUAUGAUAUGUCGCUAGACAACACCGCAUGUUCGGUUGAAUUGUUAUCAUUGUGUAGCAGGUAACGGCUAGUGAAUGUGUAGAGAAAUCUGCCCGAAGAGCGAAUCACGUGACAUUUGUGUUGCGUGUGAAUUCGUGUUCACUCUCAGUCAGUUGUGGGCAGUCGUUGGCGGAUAAAGGAGGACAAAGAACGAACACAGGAAGGAAGCUUGGGAGCCAGAGAGACUGUAUUCCCAUGGAAAUGUGAAAUGGUGCUAGUCCUUUAGUAGGGACACUGAGGGAGCCAAACACAGUGCAAGUCCUUCUGUAUGUUCCCUGCCUUCAAUCUUCUAGACCUAGCUCUACUGCCGGUGUCUUCUGUUCAGAAGUAUAUUCUCUUUAAGUUUUGGCGCAGACAGUGUUUGGAGAGACUGGCAAAAAAAGACUGAUAAACAAAAAUUAUAACAACAACAGUUAAGCAACAACAGACCAGCUAACUCAGACGCUGAACUGCCAUUAGCUGCUGGAAAUGUUGGACAGAGUUAGCAUUGAAUAAAUUCCGGCUGGAUCUUGUCUGGAGCUUUCUGGAGUUCAUUUAAACUACAUCUGUACAGUCAACACUAUAAAUCAGUCUGGUGAGUCUGUGAUUGGUCAUCUACACCAAGAAAUGAGGAGACUUCUUUGUUCUGAUGUCUGCCAUCACUUCAAUCUACUGUCCUGAGAAUCACCAUGGCGAUGACCUAGGUGUCAGAACAAAAACCAGAACAUACCUUAUUGAAAACCUAGACAUUCUCAUUCUUCCAAUCUUUUGUAGGGUUCAUGGAGGUCAUAGCCAACAUAAUACAGAUGCCCCUGUUCUAAGAUUCAUUCCUGCAAACCAAGACCAAACUGAUGGAUAAAGUAUCGGCUAAUUCAUUUGUGUCCCUUGCUUGAAGCUGCUUCCCAUGGAAUUUUUUCACGAAAUCAUUGACUGUCAACGUGGCAUGAAGACGGAAUGUACUGAUCAGAACGAGUUUCUCGCUGUUUUCUGGCAGCCAAUGGAAGAGCCGAGAAUACUAGUGCGAGUCAAGUGUUGAAUUUUCCACAAAAUAGCGAGUCAAGUCUUGAAUUUUCCACAAAAUAGCACAGAUUCCGAGCAUUGUUUCUCUCUGGUCAGAAAAAAAAAUCAGAGAAAUAACUUGUCAAUGAUAUAUUCCUGUCUGUUAGUAAUGAUUGAUCCCAGACUGAAUGCUACCAUGGGUCUGCUGGCAAGCUGGAAAGAUACAAAGAUAAAGAUAAUUUAUUAAACUUACUGAACAGGACAUUGGAGAAUAUUCAGUUGUGAAAGUGAAAUAGACAUUAAAAAUAUUAAGAUCAAGUGCAAAUUUGAUGGUUCGUGAUUGACAUUAACACUUACUGAAUGUAACAUUAAAGGAUGUUCAAGUGUGACAGUGAAAUAGGCAUUAAACAUUAAAGAUCAAGUUGUGGUUUAAGAUAAAAUACUGAAAAGAUCAACACCAAGAUGUUCACAAUAAUGUUACAAUUUAUUUUAUGGCAUUUAGAACCUUAGCAUUAAUAUGAAUUUUGAUAUUGUAGAGAUAGACCCUAACAUUUUCAUUGAUAGAAAUACAUUAAAGUCUAGAAAUUGAUUUCCAAGUCAUUGAAAUUAACAAAAAUGAUUUCACAAAUGUGCAAUGUAUGAUAGUUUUGCUAAUAUCAAUAACAGAAAUUUUAAUAUUUAAUUCAAAGUUGUGAUCCGCAAAGAAUUUCAACUCUUGCCUUGGUCUAGUACUUUAAAGCAGAGAUAUCUAUUAGUUUACUUCCCUUGCAAUUACACAAUAGAGUAGAAAACAAAAACAGUUUAGGACACAAUAUGAUACAUUUUUGCAUAACAAAAUCGUUCAGGAUUUAUUAAUAUGUGUUUGAUUUACCCCUGAAUCACUGGUUCCUAUGAUUUUGUCAACUUAUGGUAAAAAUUAACAUUUAACAAGCUGAUAUUAUAAUGAAAUACCAGUAAGUAUUUUAUAGUGCAGAUAAUACAGUUUUGCUUGUAUCAAAAUGUCACAAUAGAAGCACUUUUGUAAUACAGCACACCUGGUAGGAUUAGUAAAGGUGCAAUUAUAUUGAUCUCUUUUUCCUAUGCCUAGAUAUUGUACUUACCAACGUUCUUUAUCUUUGCUCCAUCACGCUCACAUGAGACAUUGUAAUUGACCAGAUCCUUGUUAGUUAGCUUUCAGUGUCUUCUAACAAUUUUGGCAUAAACACUGCUGUAACAUCAGUUAGGUGAUCAAUGGUCAAUGGCAAAAUAACACCAGUUGGCUCAUUUUCAACUCUGUAUGUACGGUCACAACAAAGGCACUCAAAACCAAGGCAGUCUUUGUAUUAAAAUUUGAAGUGUU